AUUAAAUGAGAGUUUGAUCCUGGCUCAGGACGAACGCUGGCGGCGUGCCUAAUACAUGCAAGUAGAACGCUGAAGACUUUAGCUUGCUAAAGUUGGAAGAGUUGCGAACGG
rnacentral:rRNA from 1 species